AGUAAUGUCUGGGAAACUGCCUGAUGGAGGGGGAUAACGUACUGGAAACGGUAGCUAAUACCGCAUAACGUCGCAAGACCAAAGUGGGGGACCUUCGGGGCCUCAUGCCAUCAGAUGUGCCCAGAUGGGAUUAGCUAGUAGGUGGGGUAACGGCUCACCUAGGCGACGAUCCCUAGCUGGUCUGAGAGGAUGACCAGCCACACUGGAACUGAGACACGGUCCAG
rnacentral:rRNA from 1 species